rnacentral:rRNA from 1 species
CCUACGGGAGGCAGCAGUGGGGAAUAUUGGGCAAUGGGCGCAAGCCUGACCCAGCAACGCCGCGUGAAGGAAGAAGGCUUUCGGGUUGUAAACUUCUUUUCUGAGGGACGAAGAAAGUGACGGUACCUCAGGAAUAAGCCACGGCGAACUACGUGCCAGCAGCCGCGGUAAUACGUAGGUGGCAAGCGUUAUACGGAUAUAUUGGGUGUAAAGGGCGUGUAGGCGGGAAAGCAAGUCAGAUGUGAAAACUCAGGGCUCAACCCUGAGCCUGCAUUUGAAACUGUUUUUCGUGAGUUCUGGAGAGGCAAUCGGAAUGCCGGGUGUAGCGGUGAAAUGCGUAGAUAUACGGAGGAACACCAGUGGCGAAGGCGGAUUGCUGGACAGUAACUGACGCUGAGGCGCGAAAGCGUGGGGAGCAAACAGGAUUAGAUACCCGAGUAGUC